rnacentral:lncRNA from 1 species
CGCCGGGCUAGGCGAGCCGACCGCCAGCGAGGCCACAGAAGCCAAGCGCGCACACGGCGAUCUCGGGCCGCCCUCCGCCGGCUCCCCGCCGCUGACUGGGUGCUCACUUUAAUGCUGCGGGGAGCCCGGGAGCCCGGGGGCGCCUCGCUCCCCGUUCCCUCCCCAUCCCGUCAGGACUCUUGGCCUGGGGUCCUCCGCCCGGACCGCCCGGCUUUGUGUGGUGGCCCCGUCACCGCCACAGCCUGAGGCACGUCACAAAUCCGAGGAGCGGCCGACAGGACAGUCCUGGUCCCGGGCUCUUGGCGGAUCCGGGUCGGAUGCAACGCGCCCGCCCGCAGGGCUGCGGAUAGACCGGCCGGGGCAAGUCCCUAAGCUCUUCGGAUGUCCCCAACUCGGAGAGGGUUUAUGUUUGUUUUAACUGCCGGACUCCUCUUUCCAUCGGAAUGCCUACUCUGGGUUCUAAAAGAGGAUCUCAGCUGAUUUUCCACUUGCUGCUACUUUAUUUUGGUGUCUAAAGGCUGAUCAGAACUCCAGGGAGCGCCCGACUCCGCUCUGCUCCGCUCUAAGGCCAGCGGUGCCCAGAAGUUCAAAGGACUCUGGGCGGGGCUUGGAGGGCGGAGCCAGGACUACCCUGGCUAGAAGAGAGGGUUGGGGAAGGCAGAAAGAGUGAAAGACUGACUUGGGUAUCCUGAGAAUGCGUUUUCAAUUUACCUAGUCAGAGUGUUAGUGGGAGAUACCCCUGGGGCCAGAGGGAACAGCAGGAUUGACAGAAAGGGGAAGGGUAGACUGAUAGAAACAAAGAAACCCCAUCUUUUCUUCCCAUUCUUUUGUCAACCACGGUUGCAAAUACUGGAGGACUGGCUGCAGAGAGCAUUAGCUCUUGUCUGUUUGACUCUAUCAUCAGUUUGAGUGUGGGCACGGGAGGGCACAGAGUUCGUGCCUCAGAUACAAAGCAAGUGUUCCUCCAGGCGCCUGACCGCGUCUCAGCUCUUUGCUAGCAGAGCCAAGAUCCUCAUCUUCUAAUGACCAGCAUUAGGAAGAGAGAGUGGAAACCUAUAGGAAAAAGAACAAACGAAAAAGUCACAGAGCUGUGACUGCAUUAAUAACAUCUGGUGAGAUAAAAGGCAAGUAGCAAGUGGGGUUUGUUGCAUGUGGUGGUGCACGCCUGCUGUCAUAGUAUUUGGAAACUAAAGGCAGGGGGAUUAAAAAGAAUUCAAGGCCAGCCUGGGAUACAUAGCAAGAUCCUUUUUUUUUUUUUUUAAAGAAAAGUAAUGUUAUUUAUUUAUUUAAUUUACAUAAUCUUGUAUCUCACAGACAAAUUCAGGAUUAACUUUAGUCAAGACCACUCUGAUGCCAGCUUACCAAAGCUGCUAGCCAACAUCGUGGUGGUCUCCCAAUGAUUUUACUGCUCCACAUGAAGAGGAACAGCUUUGACCCCAACAGUCUUAUUAGUGUUUCUAAGAAAGACAAUGAAGUUCAUGGAGGAAGUAUGGGGGGUUGGGGGGCAGGUUGGUAUUUUGUUUGAGACAGGUCUCACUAUGUUGCUCUGUCUGGCCUGGAACUCACCGUGUAGACCAAGCAUCCUGAGUGCUGAUACAAACGGCGUGCACCUCCACAAUGAGCAGAAGUGUGCAUCUUUCAAGUGAGCAACAAAAGACAUGAGGAGUGGAAGCCGCCCUGAAGGCUGCUUUGACUGCAUUGUUAGUGGCUGUCCCUAGACAAGUGAAAGCCCCUGGACUGUGGGAAAGACUGUAACAGGAUAUUGAUAUUUAUUAAGGUAAGGGCUCAUGAGAUCUCUCUCAUACUUGGAUCUUGAAAGGUUUAUGAUACUUAGGUAGGCCCAGAAGCACACAGUAUUGAAGUGCUAAUUCUAACUCCCCGAAAGCCUUGGAUCCACUGGGGAAAGGUUACUAGGGGCUUGAUUAGGUCAAAUUAACAACACAGAACUUUCAGAAAAGGUGGGAUCACACUAGCUGCAGUUGUCAGUAAGAAUCGGAAACCCUUGCAACUGUCUUUUCUCUAAUUUGUCUAAGCCCCUUUGGGGGUGCCUGGUUUUCUACAAUUAAAAGUUUAUCUCGUGUUGGAAAAGUAACGUAACAGUUGAAGCGAGGACUCCUCUGGCCCUCUGUGGACCUCCACGAACGAUGACUUUCAUGGCAAGCUGAAGACAGGUCUAUGUGACUCCAUGACACAUGGUGUCUAUGUGACUCCAGCUCACCUCCUUGCCUCCUAAGUCGAUGAACCAGCAGAUUGAACCCAAAGCUCCAUGGUUGUUUAGGCCGGAGCUGCGACUUUACAGUGGAGACUUUGCAUUCACAGAGUUCUGCAUUCCGUUUCCAGCGCUGAGAACAUCCUGCUUUGUGCUGUGAAGAAACAUCACAAUUAAAGCAAAGUGCAUGAAAGACAAUCGUUAUACACAGACUUAUUAAGCUCCCACCAGGGUAAAGAAACAGGUUUUUACCAGCAUCCCAGGAGCCUCCAGUAUAUCCCUUCCCAAACAACCUCUGCCUCUUAGAAAUAACCAUUGCAUUUAUGGUAAUUAUGACAUUGGUUUCUAAUAGCUCUAUAAAAUUGAAAAAAAAAUUAUCCCAUUUUUCAAAAAUUAUGAUUGAAAUUCAAUUUUAUAAAUAUGUUGAAUUUUUAGAGGGUCACAUGACUUCUGGUUUAAGUUUAUUAAUGUGAUGAAGUAUCUUUGCAUUACUAGUGUAAGAUAAACCUAGUUGUAUUCAUUUCUUGUGGCUGAUGUAAUAAAUUUAAAACAA